GCUAUCCGGAAAUUAAUCAGGACCCUGGCACAUUGUUGGGACUCGUGAAAGCAGGCGUAUAAAAAAUGAAAGCUGGAUCCUUUCCCUGCAUGUGAGGACCUCAGUGAUCAUGCCACAAAGAUGGAUGCUUGGUGGGUGGAGGUGGCGUCCUAACCACACAAGGGGAGAAAGGAAGAGUGUGGUAUCGUCGGUCUGUCCUGAAACAGGGUCCAGACAUGCUGGACCGUCACUCAAAGGCAGUAGCCAUUGAGCACAGUGGCGCUCACCUGCAAGGCCAGCACUUGGGAGAGGAGGCAAGCGGAUCGGGAGUCCAAGGCCAGUCUUGGCUACAGAGAGCGGGUUCCUGUCACUGCGGCCCUUGGGACUCGCAGGAGGCGGCGCUGAGCCAGUGACGCGGCA